GACGAACGCUGGCGGCGUGCUUAACACAUGCAAGUCGAACGGAAAGGCCCUGCUUUUGUGGUGUGCUCGAGUGGCGAACGGGUGAGUAACACGUGAGUAACCUGCCCUUGACUUUGGGAUAACUUCAGGAAACUGGGGCUAAUACCGGAUAGGAGCUCCUGCUGCAUGGUGGGGGUUGGAAAGUUUCGGCGGUUGGGGAUGGACGCGCGGCGUAUCAGCUUGUUGGUGGGGUAGUGGCUGACCAAGGCUUUGACGGGUAGCCGGCCUGAGAGGGAGACCGGCCCCACUGGGACUGAGACACGGCGCAGCAUUGUACGGGAGGCAGCAGUGGGGGAUAGUGUACAACAGGCGGGCGGCGUAUGAAGCAGCGCCGCGGGCGGGAAAGCGGUCUUCGGGGUGUAAACCGCUUUCGCCUUUGACGAAGCGUGAGUGACGGGAAUGGGUAAAGAAGCACCGGCUAACUACGUG
rnacentral:rRNA from 1 species